rnacentral:rRNA from 1 species
CCCUUAGAUGUUCUGGGCCGCACGCGUGCUACACUGAACGGUUCAAUGGGUAAGGUAGUGCGAAAGCAUGACCUAAUCCCGAAAUCCGUUCGUGCUGGGGAUAGAAGCUUGCAAUUAUCCUUCUUGAACGAGGAAUACCUUGUAAGCGUGAGUCAUCAUCUCACGCUGAAUACGUCCCUGCCCUUUGUACACACCGCCCGUCGCUCCUACCGAUUGAGUGUUCCGGUGAGGCUUUGGGAGAAUGGCCUCAACAUGAGUUUAUCGUGUUUUGCCGUUUGAACUUAGUCAAACCUUAUCACUUAGAGGAAGGAGAAGUCGUAACA